GUGAGUCGCCAAGUGAGACGCCAGGUGAGCAGCUUGACCGGCUGCCUUCAAGUCUCCCAGAACCAGGAGUCCUCAAUCACAAUUGUGUAUGGAACACAAUACUUCCGUCACAAGACCAAGGAUAGACCAGGAGUUAAGACUGCUGACCCGGAAUUAAAGGAGUCCUCAAUCACAUUUCUGCAUGGAACAGAAUAUUUUCCUCACAAGACCCAGGAUGAACCAGGAGUAAAGACUGCUGAUCCGGAAUUAAAGGUACUGGGUUUGAACCCCCCUCUAUUUGACAUAGUUUUGUUCCACCUAAUCAUACUUCAUUG